rnacentral:rRNA from 1 species
UGGGGAAUAUUGGACAAUGGGCGAAAGCCUGAUCCAGCAAUGCCGCGUGAGUGAUGAAGGCCUUAGGGUUGUAAAGCUCUUUUACCCGGGAUGAUAAUGACAGUACCGGGAGAAUAAGCCCCGGCUAACUCCGUGCCAGCAGCCGCGGUAAUACGGAGGGGGCUAGCGUUGUUCGGAAUUACUGGGCGUAAAGCGCACGUAGGCGGCUUUGUAAGUUAGAGGUGAAAGCCCGGAGCUCAACUCCGGAAUUGCCUUUAAGACUGCAUCGCUAGAACGUCGGAGAGGUGAGUGGAAUUCCGAGUGUAGAGGUGAAAUUCGUAGAUAUUCGGAAGAACACCAGUGGCGAAGGCGACUCACUGGACGACUGUUGACGCUGAGGUGCGAAAGCGUGGGGAGCAAACA